rnacentral:sRNA from 1 species
UUCCUCGGGACUGGGACUACAAAGAUUCAGGGAA